CUAGAAGAACCUCAGAAACUGGGCCCAAGGAAACCCAAAGGAGGUGGAGUCUAGAAGAACCUCAGAAACUGGGCCUAAGGAAACCCAAAGGAGGGGGAGUCUAGAACAACCUCAGAAACUGGGCCUAAGGAAACCCAAAGGAGGGGGAGCCUAGAAGAACCUCAGAAACUGGGCCCAAGGAAACCCAAAGGAGGUGGAGUCUAGAAGAACCUCAGAAACUGGGCCCAAGGAAACCCAAAGGAGGUGGAGUCUAGAAGAACCUCAGAAACUGGGCCUAAGGAAACCCAAAGGGGUGGGGUCUAGAAGAACCUCAGAAACUGGGCCCAAGGAAACCCAAAGGAGGGGGAGUCUAGAACAACCUCAGAAACUGGGCCUAAGGAAACCCAAAGGAGGGGGAGUCUAGAACAACCUCAGAAACUGGGCCUAAGGAAACCCAAAUUAGGUGGAGUCUAGAAGAACCUCAGAAACUGGGCCCAAGGAAACCCAAAGGAGAACAUCUUUGAAGGGGGAGUCUAGAAAGACCUCAGAAACUGGGCCUAAGGAAACCCAAAGGGGUUAGUUUUACCUUUUUCCUCAUUUUCAGCAAAAAAGUGCCUGCUCAGAAUGAGCUGGAAUUAUGCACAUAUGCUCAGUGGAACAUCUUUAUUUUGAAGGGGGAGUCUAGAAGAACCUCAGAAACUGGGCCUAAGGAAACCCAAAGGGGUGAAGUUGCAGGAGGAGAAGAACCUUGGAGAGUCGUCCUCAGAAAACACCAAUAACUAUCUUAGCCGAAAAAUAAAAGCACCAGUUGGGCUGAAACAAGCACACAUG